AAAAUACAGAAAAUGUUGGGACGAGGCUUGCUUGUUGGCAGUAUGAUCUUAUUGCUAGUGUUUUCAUUUGAUGCUGCGUUGGCUGUUCCAACAAAAUUCUUCAAUCCAAGUAAGUAUAAAUUAACCACUUUGUUCAUAAAAUUAUUUUUAUUAAAAAUUGGCAAACCAGACAAAAUUUUCUCAUUGGCUAAUAAUAUUAAUUUAUUGCGUUAAACUGUUUGCAGGAGAGAUGAACAAAGGGAAGCAUGAAAGUCUGAAGGAAAAUAAAGCCGGUACGCGUGGUUCUCAUUCGCCGCCGUCCGGUCCGGGUUCUAGCCCUCCAACAAAAAGUUGAAAGACCAAGUUGCACCAGUUUAGCUA
rnacentral:lncRNA from 1 species